rnacentral:tRNA from 1 species
GGGGCUGUAGCUCAGGGGCCGAGCACUCGCCUCGCAUGAGUGAAGCACUGGGUUCGAUCCUCAGCACCACG